UCGAGAAUCUUCCACAAUGGACGCAAGUCUGAUGGAGCGACGCCGCGUGGUUGAUGAAGUCCUUCGGGACGUAAAAACCUUUUAUGAGCAAAAAAGUUAUUGAUUAGCUCAUGAAUAAGGGGUUGCUAAACUCGUGCCAGCAGCAGCGGUAAUACGAGUGCCCCAAGCGUUAUCCGGAAUCAUUGGGCGUAAAGGGUGUGUAGGUGGUCGUGUUAGUCUUCUGUCAAAUUCUUCGGCUUAACCGGGGUUCCGCAGGGGAAACGGCACGACUAGAGGAUGCGAGAGGAAUAUGGAACUCAUAGUGGAGGGGUGAAAUCCGUUGAUAUUAUGGGGAACACCGAAAGCGAAGGCAGUAUUCUGGCGCACUCCUGACACUGAAACACGAAAGCGUGGGUCGCGAAUGGGAUUAGAUACCCCCGUAGUCC
rnacentral:rRNA from 1 species